GUAGAAUUUGCCAAGCAAGCCAUGUUUUCAAGGCACCCAGGGAUGAGGAAGUGGCCUCGUCAAUAUGAAUGGUUCUUUAUGAAGAUGAGGAUAGAACAUAUCUGGCUUCAGAAAUGGUAUGGAGGCGCAUCCAGUAUUUCAAGGGAGGAAUAUUUCAAAGCAGUUCCCAGAAAGGCCUGAUGGAGUGAGAAGAAAGUCCUUGGUGUUUGCACUUAAAUGAAAACCUUUUCAGUGAUGCAGCCAGACAGCUAUUGACCACUGUCUCUUUGUUGAAGGGUUCAUAGCAGCCCUGCCAUCCCUGCAGCAGAAUGAGAGAGGGUGAACAGGGAACUCUAUGCUAGAUUUGAGAUUAAAGUGGUCAUUUGCAGAUCUCCAACUCACACAGAUACUUCACGUAGAUAGUCUUUAUUCCAUUGUAUUCAAUCCAGACUCAUCGAUUCAGAAAUCAUAUAAUAGCUGGUGGUCAAAAUGACAUGUUGAGAUCAUUGUUGUUUCAUUGUUUAAG
rnacentral:lncRNA from 1 species